GGCAACGUAGCCAAGCGGUCUAAGGCGCCAGGUUCAGGUCCACCUGAAUUCAAUUCUCCUGGUCUCAGUAAUGGGGCGUGGGUUUGAAUCCCACCGUUGUCA